UUCUUCUGGAGAUCCUUCCUUAGUAAAGCUUUUCUCUUCAAACCUGGAAUCUUCUGAUGCAGUUGCCAGGAGAAAUGACAUCAUGUACAUCUGCAUAUUGCUGCGAGAGGAAGGCGAAGGUCAGGGAGGAAGGCUCACACCUCCCCAUUGGUAGACUGACACCAGGCACCCACCUCCACCAGACACGUGGCUGGAAAGCUGUGCCCACAUGGAAACUCCUGGACCAGGUUCCUCAAGGAAGGGCAUGGCCACCUGUAGUGGAAAUGCUGAAUCAUGGCUUGAAGCAGUGAUCAAGCAUCCGGUGGGAAGGCAGGGCCACACUAGGGGAGCUCAGCUGCUGUAUUUGGCUUUGUUCUAAUUUACUGCAACCUAGGAUUGUGCCACCCCAUUACUAUUGCUGCACUUUCCAUCACAUAGUAUUACAGCAUUACACCAGCUCCCAGUCAGCCCCACAGCAGCUGAACAGGUGAAAACACUGGGACUUGCAACCUGAAGAGGAAAAAGCUGGAGCUGGCAGGUAUAGAAAGGAACAACAGUAAUAUAAGUGCUCAGCCUAUCUCCAAAACUUUUAACACUUCAACUUUAAUAGUAGAAGUAGCUUUUACUUAUGUUUGGCAGAGGUUUAUUUAUUUUCAUAUAUGGCACUUGAUAUAUUAUCAAGCCUUUAGGAUCUGAGUCAAUGAGAUACCUCCACAGUGGGCUAAUUUUAAGGCAUCAUCUUCAAUUAACACUGAUCUCAAUCACAAGCUUUCCAAUAUAAGGUAGCUGGGUUAGAAAUGAUAAGAUUAUUAAUAAAAUGUUUCAUCUCAAGUUUGCUUGUAAGGAUCCAUGCCUCCAAGUUGGUUUUGUAUUCCCCUGAAGGCAUGAGAAUUGGAAAUAACUUUUACAAGCCAACAACAACGAGAGCAGGAACUCUAUCACAAUACCUCUCCUCCACAACUCGGGGCUUUUGCGAAAACUGGACAAGAUAUCCAGAAAUUACAAAAGCUUUUGAACUUCUCCAGCUCACCAGAAAGAGCACAGAUGGGGAUUGGUUUCAUUUUCUCAGUUUCUAAAAUUGGUGACAUUAGAUUCAAUUCCAAACCAGAUGAGAACUCUUCUUCAGAUCUGAUGUUUUUUCAUGAACAUUGGAGAGUUGCUCUUCUUCAAGAAGGCAGGAAAUUGAAUUGUGGUUGGUACAUGAUGGACAUUGUGUGCCUGUGCAAUUCUCUUGUUUGCUAUGAGCAAAUGUUCAGCAAACAAGGAAAUGUUCUUGGCAACAUCUUGCCUCAAUCAAAGAGCUCAUGUCUCCAGUCGUUCUUCAUCCCUUUAAUGCCAUACAGAUGUCCUCCACGUUGGCUGAAGGGACACACAACCCUUUGUGUAGUGCUUGGAGCAUAGACUGAGUUUGUGGAGAUGCGGAGUUGGA